rnacentral:sRNA from 1 species
GCUGGGCGUGGUAGCGCACACCUGUAAUCCGAGCUGCUUGGGAGGCUGAGGCAGGAGGAUCGCAAGUUCAAAACGAACCUCAGCAAAAGUGAGGCACUAAGCAACUCAGUGAGACCCUGUCUCUA